rnacentral:lncRNA from 1 species
CAAGGACAAAAAAACAGACACCGCAUGUUCUCACUCACAGCACCAGCACCACCUGGAGUCAUCUUGGACUGUGGUGUCGUCUUCGGAUGCUGUGCUAGUUUGGAUUUCUGGACUGCCUAACUCUUUACUUCUCUAAGAACAGCAUCCUCCACGGGACAAAUAUCCUCACAGCCAACUGGACUUUGGAUGGAUACAUGAUCCAAAGUAGGCCAAUUAAAUGGGUUUUUGGGAUUAGAACUGAGAGUCAGUCUGGUCAGGCUGAUAUGGAUUCUUCAAAACGAGUAGACGAGCCUCAGAAGCUAUUAGGAACACCAAGAGAAGGCGGAAAUCUUCAAGUCAGAAAGAGAGCUCGCUGAAACCUGACCAUGUUGGCACCCUGAUCUUAGACUUCCAGGCUCUGAAACUAUACUUGUUGCAUGGUUUCCAUUCUGUGCUGCCUUCUCUUCUGGACGAUGGGGUUAGGAUAGUGAAUGAGAAGGU